rnacentral:lncRNA from 1 species
AGGCUCAUCACUGAACGUGUGAUUAUUCAUCCCGGCUGGAAACAAGAGGAUGACCUGAAUACACGGACAAAUUUUGACAAUGACAUUGCCCUGGUGCAGCUCAAAGACCCUGUGAAAAUGGGACCCACUGUUUCCCCCAUCUGCCUGCCAGAAACCUCCUCAGACUACAACCCCUCAGAGGAUGACCUGGGGCUGAUCUCUGUGUGGGGCUGAACAGAGAAUAGAACCAAUGUUAUUCAACUCAGAGGGGCGAAGUUACCUGUAACAUCUUUAGAAAAGUGCCAGCAGGUAAAAGAGGAAAACCCCAAAGCGAGGUCAAACGACUAUGUUUUCACUGACAACAUGAUCUGUGCUGGGGAAAAG